rnacentral:rRNA from 1 species
UACGUAGGGUGCAAGCGUUGUCCGGAAUUAUUGGGCGUAAAGAGCUCGUAGGCGGUUUGUCGCGUCUGCUGUGAAAACUCGGGGCUUAACUCUGGGCCUGCAGUGGGUACGGGCAGACUAGAGUGCGGUAGGGGAGACUGGAAUUCCUGGUGUAGCGGUGAAAUGCGCAGAUAUCAGGAGGAACACCGGUGGCGAAGGCGGGUCUCUGGGCCGUAACUGACGCUGAGGAGCGAAAGCGUGGGGAGCGAACAGG